CACAGUGGAAGGACUAACAGAGCCGUGGAUGGAUGGAAGUGAGAGCCAGUCAAUGAGCUGCAUUAAUCUGGAUUCAUUGUUUAAGCAAUGCAGAUAGAUAAUAUCUCACAAUGCUUCUAGAUCGCUCCUUCGAUAGCAUUGAAUCAGGUUUUUCACUUUAUCCAGGUUAAGGACAGCAGGACUCUGAAGCCAAAAGGUGGGUUCACCUUCCUGUUGGGUGUGUUCUGAUUGGACAUCUUGUUUGGAUGCGCCCCGGUCUUCCCCUCUGACUGGCCAUCUCUCAUGUCUCUUGCCUGUCUGUCUCCAUGUCCCGGUCCUCGACCUCCGCCUCGACCCCCUCCUCGCCCGCGGUGGCUCGGCUGCCUCAGAGAGGUUUGAGGUUUCGCUGCACACAGAAAGAGAAAGCAACAACAGAAUUCUUCCUCCUACUGUGUCUUCUUUCUCUCUGAGUGGAUAUGCUACCUGUACACUAUGUGCUAAUGGCAGUUAAUCAAUCAAUCAGCAAAUUACUGAGAUUCGUACACAUUACAGCAACUGAGCAGUCACACACGCAGAUAAAUCCACAUGCAAACACAGGCAAGGAAGAGCACACUCAUUCAGAGCAGACGCCGCGUCACCUCACCAGCGUGGACACACAGUCUCUGUUGUGUCUCUGCCUGAAUAUCAAUAUCCUGGUGAGGAGGUGGAGGAGAGAAUUAGAGAGACAGAUGAAGAGGUUGAUCUGGGAGGCAGAUGCUCUUCGCUUGCAGCUGAGUCUCAGCAGCUAUAGGCUGCGUUAGCCUAAAAUCUCA